GGGCAGUUGCCACCGAUCACAGAGAAGGCCUGACUUUGGACUCAGAAGACAGCCCUCGGAUCUCAGCAGCGUGGCCUGGAACACGAGGCUUCCCCCCACGGUCCCUCUGGAUUGUCAAGCAAAAUGCAGGGGCUCCAAGAAACGGACACGCCAACUCUUUCAGAUCUGUUAAGAGAGAACAACAGAAAACAGUCCGCGUGCAGCCUGCGGAGGAAAUUCCGGGGCUGGGUGGGACUGUUUUCCCUGACCCCUGAGAUCAUGGCUGAGUCUGGGGCCAGGCCGGUUUUUGUCUCUGCAAAUUCUCUCUCACUCCCGUGGUCACAGAGGAGGUCGCGGUUUCCAAUGUCGACACCAGAGGCAGCAAGAUGUCCCCGGAGACGGCGAGAGAACUCGUCCAAGAAUGCAGAGGUCCUGCUCCCAGACAGCACCUGUCGUUGCAGCCUGGACCCCUGUCCUUCAGCCCCUCCCGGGGUCCCCUUUUACGAUCUCAACUUCCCUUCGUUUUCUUAAAAACAUCUUUUCCCCCGCGUGCCUAAGGAAGACAUGCUCCUUACAGACCACUGGAGGGACAUUUCCAGAGAAAAACGACAUAAGAACAAAGAAAGUCGUUCAAAAGCUCACCGACGCUGGUGAUGUUGUGGCUUUCAUUCCGAUCGUUUUUCUCUACAGAACGGGUAUCCACUCGCCUUUGUCAAAAGUUGGGAUUGUUCUGAACGCACAGCUUUGGAAUCCGCUGUGUCCUCCCUGCAGUGCUGCUGAGAUAGAUAGUUUUUCCACACCAUUGAACCUCCGAGGCUCUGAUGGAUUCCAUAUUUUAACACAGGAAAGACUGCUUGCAGAAACAUUGGAUGUAAAAUGCAGAGGGUUACCAUCUAUGUCCUCUCCCCGCCAAGUGGCUUGUCCCAUUAUCAGCAUCUUGCAUCAGUGGGAUCAACUUGUUACAAGCGAUGGACGGAUAUUGAAGGUGAAAUGAUGUCUCUCUGGAUGGGCCCUGAGCCAAUGGGCCCGGUGUCCUUCGAGGAAGAAGAUUAAGUGACAGAUACUCCCGGAGGGAAGACCAUGUGAAGACGCCUGGAGAAGAUGCCCAUGUGCAAGCCAGGGAGAAAGACCUCAAGAGAAACUCUUUCCCUUUCUGUCCUGCACUCCAGACUUUUUUUUAAUUGGAUAGUCGUUUCUGAUUUGUUACCUCCACCCCCCAAUGAUGGUUACUAAAACAACGGAAGCCAUAAGAUGCCCCCUUGUUGGGGCGCCUGGGUGGCUCAGCCGAUUAAGUGGCUGACCUCAGCUCAGGUCAUGAUCUCACGGUUUGUGAGUUCGAGCCCCACAUGGGGCUUUCUGCUCUCAGCUCAGAGCCCGCUUUGGAUCCUCUGUCUCCCUCUCUCUCUCUGCCCCUCACUUCCGAUCUCUCUCUCUCUCUCAAAAACAAACAUUAAAAAAAAAAAAAAAGGAGACAAAGCAGGAGAGAAAUGAACUAUGACUAUCUUAACACACCCUAAGCUCUGUGAUUAAGCAAAAUUGGAGUAACUCUGCUAUUUCUACAGUAAUAUUUAAACUUCUUCCUGGUGGCUCUGCAGCUCCCCUUCAAGAGCAGCUUUUCAGUGUUUUCUAGAACCUCUGAACUAUUACUGACAGAUUGCACUAAUUUCCUGUAUGAUUUUCUUUUUUCUUUUUUGCCUUUUUGUUUUUGUUUUUGUUUUUGCCAAAUGUCUGACCUUUGUAAUUCGC